rnacentral:lncRNA from 1 species
AUAACACGUCUGAUAUGAGAGAUGGGAGGACAUUUAUAACACGUCUGAUAUGAGAGAUGGGAGGACAUUUAUAACACGUCUGAUAUGAGAGAUGGGAGGACAUUUAUAACACGUCUGAUAUGAGAGAUGGGAGGACAUUUAUAUCACACGUCUGAUAUGAGAGAUGAGAGGACAUUUAUAACAUGUCUGAUAUGAGAGAUGGGAGGACAUUUAUAACAAGUCUGAUAUGAGAGAUGGGAGGACAUUUAUAUCACACGUCUGAUAUGAGAGAUGGGAGGACAUUUAUAACACGUCUGAUAUGAGAGAUGGUAGGACAUUUAUAUCACGUCUGAUAUGAGAGAUGGGAGGACAUUUAUAACACGUCUGAUAUGAGAGAUGGGAGGACAUUUAUAACACGUCUGAUAUGAGAGAUGGGAGGACAUUUAUAUCACGUCUGAUAUGAGAGAUGGGAGGACAUUUAUGUCACGUCUGAUAUGAGAGAUGGUAGGACAUUUAUAACACGUCUGAUAUGAGAGAUGGGAGGACAUUUAUAACACACGUCUGAUAUGAGAGAUGGGAGGACAUUUAUAACACGUCUGAUAUGAGAGAUGGGAGGACAUUUAUAACACGUCUGAUAUGAGAGAUGGGAGGACAUUUAUAUCACGUCUGAUAUGAGAGAUGGGAGGACAUUUAUAUCACGUCGGAUAUAAGAGAUGGGAGGACAUUUAUAACACGUCUGAUAUGAGAGAUGGGAGGACAUUUAUAACACGUCUGAUAUGAGAGAUGGGAGGACAUUUAUAACACGUCUGAUAUGAGAGAUGGGAGGACAUUUAUAACACGUCUGAUAUGAGAGAUGGGAGGACAUUUAUAACACACGUCUGAUAUGAGAGAUGGGAGGACAUUUAUAUCACGUCUGAUAUGAGAGAUGGGAGGACAUUUAUAACACGUCUGAUAUGAGAGAUGGGAGGACAUUUAUAACACGUCUGAUAUGAGAGAUGGGAGGACAUUUAUAUCACGUCUGAUAUGAG